rnacentral:rRNA from 1 species
UACGGAGGGGGUUAGCGUUGUUCGGAAUUACUGGGCGUAAAGCGCGCGUAGGCGGACCAGAAAGUUGGGGGUGAAAUCCCGGGGCUCAACCCCGGAACGGCCUCCAAAACUCCUGGUCUUGAGUUCGAGAGAGGUGAGAGGAAUUCCGAGUGUAGAGGUGAAAUUCGUAGAUAUUCGGAGGAACACCAGUGGCGAAGGCGGCUCACUGGCUCGAUACUGACGCUGAGGUGCGAAAGUGUGGGGAGCAAACAGG